CAGUAGCCGCGGUAAUACGAGGGGGGCAAGCGUUGUUCGGAAUUAUUGGGCGUAAAGGGUGCGUAGGCGGUUUGACAAGUCUUAUGUGAAAUCUCUGGGCUCAACCCAGAGUCUGCAUGGGAAACUGUCGGGCUUGAGUAUGGGAGAGGUGAGUGGAAUUUCCGGUGUAGCGGUGAAAUGCGUAGAUAUCGGAAGGAACACCUGUGGCGAAAGCGGCUCUCUGGUCUGUAACUGACGCUGAGGCUCGAAAGCGUGGGGAGCGAACAGGAUUAGAGACCCCUGUAGUCCCUGUCUCUUAUAC
rnacentral:rRNA from 1 species